CCCUCGUCGUCCAGCUUGGCGACAUCUUUACCGUGGUGGCGACGAGCUCCGCCUCCUGCACCCCCUCCGCCUCCUGGCCCCUUCCGCUGAGGCCCGCGUCGGCGCGUUCCUGCCAUAGUCGGCAACCAAUAGGAGCGUAAAACUGGAGCUAGGGAUUGAAGCUGUUGCAGGUACAUGUCAUAUAUAAAUGGACAUGGGCAGGCACUCCCGCUGAGGGUGCUUCUUGGCUUCGUCUGUAGAGGCUUGCUGAUAUUUGGCAUAGGAUAUUGUUAAUUUGUGGGUAUGAUGCAUGUAUUAUUUGAGAUCUUUGAGCAGAUAAAGCAAUCAUUAUCAUCUCAAAGGGAGGGUAUUGAUUUCAUGGCCGUGAUUCCCCCUCUCCCAGUCAAAGCCAUCCAUGCCGCAAUUACUUCAGGGACAGGGUGUUUACUGGGGCUAGAAGGAUUCUGUUUUUAUUGCACGACACAUGACAACAUAUCCAAGUAGUCCUUGAUUGAUUUAGCAGCAGGGAGUAAGCGUCUUGCUAAAAGUGGCUCCACAGGUGAACUUAGCGAUCGUCUUGCUAAAAGUGGUUGUACAGGUGAUCGCUUGAAGGAAACUCAGGUUCAAGAAGGACACAUGAGUAUCCGAGAAAAAACUCCUCAAAUCCUGGAAUAGCCUCGAUGGUUCCAGAUGGCGAACGAACCGGGUGAGGAAAAGAACCCACCGGCCUGCUGUCCAUUGCUCCUAGAAGCAUCGCGUCGUGGAUCGGCUUUCUCCGUGCUCCACCUCGUCGGCCUCAUGCCCCGUAGCCCCGACUCUCCAUCUGCCGCCUCCACCUCAUGGGCCGCCGGGUCCACCCUCGCCGUCCAGCUUGGCGACAUCUUUACCGUGGUGGCGACGAGCUCCGCCUCCUGCACCCCCUCCGCCUCCUCGCCCCUUCCGCUGAGGCCCGCGUCGGCGCGUUCCUGCCAUAGUCGGCAACCAAUAGGAGCGUAAAACUGGAGCUAGGGAUUGAAGCUGUUGCAGGUACAUGUCAUAUAUAAAUGGACAUGGGCAGGCACUCCCGCUGAGGGUGCUUCUUGGCUUCGUCUGUAGAGGCUUGCUGAUAUUUGGCAUAGGAUAUUGUUAAUUUGUGGGUAUGAUGCAUGGAUUAUUUGAGAUCUUUGAACAGAUAAAGCAAUCAUUAUCAUCUCAAAGGGAGGGUAUUGAUUUCAUGGCCGUGAUUCCCCCUCUCCCAGUCAAAGCCAUCCAAGCCGCAAUUACUUCAGGGACAGGGUGUUCACUGGGGCUAGAAGGAUUCUGUUUUUAUUGCACGACACAUGACAACAUAUCCAAGUAGUCCUUGAUUGAUUUAGCAGCAGGGAGUAAGCGUCUUGCUAAAAGUGGCUCCACAGGUGAACUUAGCGAUCGUCUUGCUAAAAGUGGUUGUACAGGUGAUCGCUUGAAGGAAACUCAGGUUCAAGAAGGACACAUGAGUAUCCGAGAAAAAACUCCCAAGAAAUCUUCCCAAAACUGAAUGUUGCCUUCUACCAUCAACAACCUUUGAAGUUCUAGGGUGUUUAUUUUUGUAUGUUCUCUACAAUUAUGUGUAUAUAUAUAUAUAUUCAUCCUUUUCAAGACAAUUUUUAUAAAUAUAACAACUUGAUUUC